AGAACCCUGUUUAGCAUACACUUGCUAUUUGGCCACACGUGCCUUUGUUCUUUCUUCCUGCUAUUACGCAGCUUUGUCAGCCUUUAUUGUCUAAUAAAGACGCAUCGUGAGCUCCUCGCCAUAGUCUGUUACAGUCAGUGAAAAACUACAUUGCGCACUGUCGGCCUUAAAAGUUGAAAUUAUGUAUAACACCUCGACAGAUCACUUUUUUUGCCCUCCAACCCAUUUCCGGUGGAAUGUCCGAUUGGCGGGAAAUUCAUUUCGCGCAAGCCGGUGAUAUUCCCUUACAAACACGCGUACGCGGAGGAGUGACACAAUCACCUCGCGAUCAAGUGGAUUGCAAAGAAUAUGAAACCGAUUUUUCCGUGUGGAUCCUCAACAAUGAUGAGCCCGAUUAUAUCCUGCACUGUAUCGGGUUUUGGAGAGAGAAUGCCCGCUCGUUUUUGGUGACCUAUGAAAAAGAAGAUGCCCUAAGUCCAUUCCGCUGCUGGGUAAAUCACUAAGUAAAAUAAAUAUGUUUGGAGCAGCUGCACAAAAUCCAAAAAUCCGCUUCCUGCGAAUAAAAGUGCUUUCUAACUUAAAAUCCGCUGUCAAGAGGUUUAUAACCGCAUUAGCUACAAUCGCAUUCUUUUAUCGAGGGGAGCGGCAUCAUUUUGUGGCAUCCACCAAGAGCCCGAUAAUCAGAAUUUCUCGGACGGUGCUUCCUUGGCGCUGGAUCUGAGGGAGAACGAACGUUUAUGUAGAAUUUGAGCUGUUUGCGGUUGACGAUUGUCCGUUACGUUUCAUUGAUGGAUGUGACCCCUGGGCAGUCGUGGAGCAGUACGGACUGCUUAAUUCAGUCUGGCGUCUUCGACAGAUGUAUACUUUUUGUCUGAAGCGAUUAUUGACAACUAACUGCUCCCUAGACUGGACGUUGUUUUGGCUUGUUGUGUUAAUGCACAUCAGAGCAGAUCGCACGCUGUUACGUUAAUGGUGGAGGUCAAUUACAUUUGGGUAACCGUUGCGCGACGGGUAACGGGGAAACGCGUAAAAAAGUAUCCAUGACUCAGCAAAAAAAUUAUCGCCCAAUAGUAAGUCGAGUACGCUUCCGUGCCAAGAGAGAAAUUGAACACCGAAGUGGAACUGAAAAACUCAUUUUUAAUGCUGUAAUGUGCUAAAUGUGGUAUUACGUCAAAAAAGUUAAUUAUGAGUUUUGGAGUGCAACUCUGGGUCGCUGGAUUUACUUUUGGUCCAAACACAAACAAAUUUUGUUAAUCUGUGCAGGAGAGUUAGGAGUUACUCGUAGUUUGGGUAAUGGUUGCGCUUCGACGUCGAAGCGCAACGCUUACGCGGACAAGUAAGCU